UNCCAACUGUGCUACAUACAUCCCCAGACC
rnacentral:piRNA from 1 species